rnacentral:rRNA from 1 species
CNACCUGCCCAUCACUUGGGGAUAACCUUGCGAAAGUAAGACUAAUACCCAAUGACGUCUCUANNNNNCAUCUGAAAGAGAUUAAAGAUUUAUCGGUGAUGGAUGGGGAUGCGUCUGAUUAGCUUGUUGGCGGGGUAACGGCCCACCAAGGCGACGAUCAGUAGGGGUUCUGAGAGGAAGGUCCCCCACAUUGGAACUGAGACACGGUCCAAACUCCUACGGGAGGCAGCAGUGAGGAAUAUUGGUCAAUGGGCGAGAGCCUGAACCAGCCAAGUAGCGUGCAGGAUGACGGCCCUAUGGGUUGUAAACUGCUUUUAUAAGGGAAUAAAGUGAGUCUCGUGAGACUUUUUGCAUGUACCUUAUGAAUAAGGACCGGCUAAUUCCGUGCCAGCAGCCGCGGUAAUACGGAAGGUCCGGGCGUUAUCCGGAUUUAUUGGGUUUAAAGGGAGCGUAGGCCGGAGAUUAAGCGUGUUGUGAAAUGUAGACGCUCAACGUCUGCACUGCAGCGCGAACUGGUUUCCUUGAGUACGCACAAAGUGGGCGGAAUUCGUGGUGUAGCGGUGAAAUGCUUAGAUAUCACGAAGAACUCCGAUUG